CGCACGGGUGAGUAACACGUAUCCAACCUGCCGUCUACUCUUGGACAGCCUUCUGAAAGGAAGAUUAAUACAAGAUGGCAUCAUGAGUCCGCAUGUUCACAUGAUUAAAGGUGUUCCGGUAGACGAUGGGGAUGCGUUCCAUUAGAUAGUAGGCGGGGUAACGGCCCACCUAGUCUUCGAUGGAUAGGGGUUCUGAGAGAAGGUCCCCCACAUUGGAACUGAGACACGGUCCAA
rnacentral:rRNA from 1 species